GGAAUGGGCAGAGGGAGAAGCUGACUUGUGAUUUGGUUGUUAUUGAGGCCUUUCUCACCCCAAAGCCUCCACUCACAGCAUUCCUACCUGCCAUAGAGGCUUUACAUACCUUCACAUCUGCUGGAUUCUGUGGCCAAAGUGGAAGAGCAGCCUGCACAGCAACUGCGCUCGCUCGUGGAGCUGCUUCUCACUCCAGGCGUCCCAAACCUGGCAGCUUUCAGGAUCCUGCAGGGAGCUCUGGAGCAGUGUUGGCCCUUCACUUGUCCUAAAUUGAAGCAAGGAGGUCAGUCACUGGCCCUGGGCUGCCCCUUAGGAGGGAGCAUAACUUCAGAUGGGGUAGCCCCCGCCACUGACCACAGUUCCAGAGAGGGGUGCAGCUGUGAGAAUCAGCAGGCAGUGUGCCCAGCAUCUGGAGGGGGGGCGUCGGCCCUGAAGAGGGAUUGGAGGUGGAGCCCCACAGGAUCCGCUGCAUCCAGCAAGAACAACAGCCUGCAAGAACAACAGCCUGCAAGAACAACAGCCUGCAAGAAGAGGGGGGCCUCAGUCAUACGGUCAUAAGGAAAUGAAUUCUGCCAACCAGCAGUGAGCUUGGAGGAAGACCUUGAGCCUCAGAGGGGAAUGCAGCGCAACUACCCCAUUAAAAUGGAAGACUGUGCAUGGUGAGAACAGAGACAUGCGAAAAAGUCCUGGGAAGCAUCCACAUUUAAGAAACAGCCAGAAAAGAAGAGGCUGGCAAAGUCAAAUAAGGUGAACAGUCCAGGGCGUGGAAAGGAAAAGCGAAAACGGUGAUGUCACGAGAGCCAAGGAAAAGCGUAAAGAAUAGAAGAGUAUCAGUAAGAACCCAACACUGCAGAGAAGGUUGACCUAUCCUGGAGAAGACUUGGGACAAAGCACCACUUAUUUUGCUUGUGGACAUGACAACAGAAAAAAACAUGUGUAAGAGGGGAACUAGGUGUUCUAAACUGUGGUCAAACUAUCUGUAAUAAAGCUUUGCUUGUUUUAUUUAA